rfam:Roseburia sp. CAG:45 genomic scaffold, scf30
GGGCUAGUAAAGGUUUCGACAGGGAUUAUGAAGCUGGAGAAGCGAGCCGCAGGGUGAUGCGUUAAAUUCCAAACUUAAAAUUAAACGCUAACGAUAAUAAAUUAGCUUACGCUGCCUAAUGGCAGCAGUCUGACCUAGAGCACUCACACUUUAGGACCCAGGCUUCGACUAUGUGAGAAACGACACGGGCAAAGCUUUGAACCCGUGGGCGUAUGAUGAAGCUACUGAAACAGUUACGGUGUUCAUACCGGAAUUGCAGAGGGAAUGUCAAAUUAUGAACUACGCUCGUAGAAGGACAGGGGAUUGGUUUUUGGACACGGGUUCGACUCCCGUCUAGUCCACUG